rnacentral:rRNA from 1 species
GAUGAACGCUGGCGGCGUGCCUAAUACAUGCAAGUCGAGCGAACAGACGAGGAGCUUGCUCCUCUGACGUUAGCGGCGGACGGGUGAGUAACACGUGGAUAACCUACCUAUAAGACUGGGAUAACUUCGGGAAACCGGAGCUAAUACCGGAUAAUAUAUUGAACCGCAUGGUUCAAUAGUGAAAGACGGUUUUGCUGUCACUUAUAGAUGGAUCCGCGCCGCAUUAGCUAGUUGGUAAGGUAACGGCUUACCAAGGCAACGAUGCGUAGCCGACAUGAGAGGGUGAUCGGCCACACUGGAACUGAGACACGGUCCAGACUCCUACGGGAGGCAGCAGUGGGGAAUCUUCCGCAAUGGGCGAAAGCCUGACGGAGCAACGCCGCGUGAGUGAUGAAGGUCUUCGGAUCGUAAAACUCUGUUAUUAGGGAAGAACAAAUGUGUAAGUAACUAUGCACGUCUUGACGGUACCUAAUCAGAAAGCCACGGCUAACUACGUG